rnacentral:rRNA from 1 species
UGGGGAAUUUUGGACAAUGGGCGAAAGCCUGAUCCAGCCAUGCCGCGUGAGUGAAGAAGGCCUUCGGGUUGUAAAGCUCUUUUAGUCGGAAAGAAAGAGUUGCAAUGAAUAAUUGUGAUUUAUGACGGUACCGACAGAAAAAGCACCGGCUAACUACGUGCCAGCAGCCGCGGUAAUACGUAGGGUGCGAGCGUUAAUCGGAAUUACUGGGCGUAAAGGGUGCGCAGGCGGUCUUGCAAGUCAGAUGUGAAAGCCCCGGGCUUAACCUGAGAAUUGCGUUUGAAACUACAAGGCUAGAGUGCAGCAGAGGGGAGUGGAAUUCCAUGUGUAGCAGUGAAAUGCGUAGAGAUGUGGAAGAACACCGAUGGCGAAGGCAGCUCCCUGGGUUGACACUGACGCUCAUGCACGAAAGCGUGGGGAGCAAACA